rnacentral:misc_RNA from 1 species
UUAAGUUCAGCGGGUAGCCCUACCUGAUCCGAGGUCCACCUUGGGUAAAAUAAGGCUUUUAACGGCCGGAACCCGCAGCACGCCCUGAGCGAGAUGUAAACUACUACGCUCGGAGUGACAGCGAGCCCGCCACUGGUUUCAGGGCCUGCGGCAGCCGCAGGUCCCCAACACAAGCCUGGGGCUUGAUGGUUGAAAUGACG